ACCUCGAUGAUGUAAUGGUAGCACGCGUCCCCGAUAUCGAUGAAACGCUGGUUCGACUCCCGCCUGAGGUC